GUGCCAGCAGCCGCGGUAAGACGGAGGAGGCUAGCGUUGUUCGGAAUUACUGGGCGUAAAGCGUACGCAGGUGGCGAGACAAGUCGGAUGUGAAAGCCCGGGGCUCAACCCCGGAUGUGCAUCCGAUACUGUUUUGCUGGAGUCCGGAAGAGGAGAGCGGAAUUCCCAGUGUAGAGGUGAAAUUCGUAGAUAUUGGGAAGAACACCGGUGGCGAAGGCGGCUCUCUGGUCCGGUACUGACACUCAAGUACGAAAGCGUGGGGAGCAAACAGGAUUAGAAACCCGAGUAGUCC
rnacentral:rRNA from 1 species